rnacentral:lncRNA from 1 species
CCAAACAUUUCAUUGUAGAUAAGUGAUUUGUAAAGGCGGGAAGUUGUGUUGAAUUGGUAUCUGAAUCUACAACGAGGUAUGUAAAGCAUACUCUAACAAUGUUCUUUGGCAUGAAAACACCAAUGUUCCAUCAAGUAAGAUUCCGAGGUUGUCCAAAAACAUGUAUUGUUCUACGUUACCAACGAAGUUGUUUCCAUUCUAUAAAGUGUCAAAAUGUUUCAUUGAUAUACCAAAAGGCUCUUAUUUCAUUGUUGUGAUAUUGAUGAUUCUGAAACACAUUGUUGAUGUACCAAUGAGUCUUUAUUACAUCGUUAUUGUAUAGAAGGUCUAUUACUUGGUUCCUAUUGAUGUAUCAUUGUUUCAAAGUAUCAAAAAUGUGGUGGCGACCGAAAUAACAAUCUCAAAGAUUAAUUGAACUAAGUGAUGGGAGUUCUCUCUUAUCGGGUGGUAUCCCAGGGGCAUAAGCCUAGCAUGGGUCGAUCCCUAUUUCAUGUGUUUAUGGGUGGUAUCCCAGGGGCAUAAGCCUAGCAUGGGUCGAUCCCAGUUGAUAUGUACUGGAGGCAUCCUAAUGGUCACAGUACAGUACAGUAAUGAUUACAAAGACGAUAAGAACGAAGGUAAAGUGAUUGAAUAAAUACAAUGUACAGGUUGUCACAAGUUCUAGUAAGUGUGGUCCACUCCUAUUACGACUUAUUCACUUGUUUCUGAUUUCUAUUGAGCUCCUAUAUCAUAUGUGAUUAUUUACAGCUUUACAUACUCAGUACAUAUUUCGUACUGACGUCCCUCACGGGGGACCUGCAUUUCAUGCUGCAGGCACAGGUACCUCAGCUCAUACACCGCACAAGUAGGAGCCAGGUCAUACAACUAUUGUUGGUGAGCUCCAGUUUGCUUCGGAGCUUUCUGAGUUGGUUCCUUAUGUUUUGUUAUUGUACAUGAGUC